UUGGUUCAGCUGAAGGCCAAUCAGACUCACGUACAAGCCCAUUGGUGCUUUCCCGGAGUCUCCGGCGCUCCGGGAGGACCCGAGAAUGCAGAGUGCCCGGCCAAUUCGGUCACGGAUUGGCCAGGGUUUCCGCCACUCAUUUCAGUUUAUGAUCCCGUCACUGCCACGUCACCCCCUGCCAUCACUCUUCUGUGCGCCCCAGUUCCGCCCUUACGGAUUGGUGGUUGGUGUCAGCUGCUCAGCCUUAGCUACCAUUUGCUGAACGAGAGGAAGAAAAAGGGAAGGAGUCUCGUUUUCACAUCCUCACUUUCCCUAUCUUAUUGGUUCGUCUAAAGGUCACUCACAUGUUGGAAGAGAGCCAGAGUGGGGAUUAGAGAUGAUUGGUUCUGGAUAGUGUCUGUGACAGCUGACGCUGGGCAGUGCUGACCAAUUGAGAGAGGGGCUGACUGGAGACAACCAAUAAGAUCCGGGAAGCCCGCCUGGGGGCGUGUCUGCUUGCUCCCGGCUCUUCGGGGUCGGCGAGCCGAGUCCUCUUGCCAGAAGCGUUUUUUUCGCAAAGGCGCGGGGUUGGAGUCUCUCUUCCUGAGUCAAAGACAUCCGUCGUUUCCUGUUGGGAGGAGCGACUCUCCGUCGUUUGCCACUGCCUGCGGGAAGCCCUCUUUGAGGGCGUCGUCCUCGCAGCUGGCUCUGAGCGGGAGGCCCGGGCUGCUGCGGCGUCCACAGACCGCUUCCCCAGUUCCUUCGCGCGUCCAAGAUCCUCCCAGUUCCCUUCCCCGCUUUGCUCCUCCUCGCACCACGGCCCUUAGCUCCUGAUUCCGGGCGGUCGUCUGCCCCUGUUGGAGCAGGCAGCUCGUUAGGCUUCAGGAGUCCAGAGCAGGGGGCAUCGCGGCCGGCGCGGUCAGAAAGUCGGAGGCCCGACCUGGCGGCCCUCCCCAAACAGCCGCGGGAAACUUGGACCAAACCGGACUGGCCCCCCCGGCUGACAAAGAAGGCUGGAAACCCCGACGGAAUAAGGAAGAAAUGGCGGGAAGCCCUGCUUUCGAGAAUUCCCCGCCGCAGGUAAUAGAUACUGCAGCCCUGGUUAACACCUGUCCGUAAAGGAUGGAAACCCGAGCCCCCGGCGUGCAGCGCUCGAGCCGGCCCGCUCGCGCCUGCGGAGCCUGCUUGCGCUUCGAUGAACUUUCCUGCUUGCACCGCUCAUCCGCUGUGUCUGGUCUGUGCUUGAAUUCCUUCUUGCAGUGAGACCAGCAGCGUCCGGGGACAUCCUUGGAAUGGGCUGGGCGGAGGCCACAGGGGCCAGGGUCUCCCCAGCCUACCGGCGGCACCGUUUUGGCAAGCCAGCCAGAAGGAAGGAACAGCGCAUUGAGGGACCCUCUCCACCCUGGUGAGCCUCCAGCUCUCGCCUAAGUGCUGGAGAGUUGCUUAGUCAACUCACCACUCCUCCUUUGCUGUCCUCUCUGGUCUACCAGGGAACCGGAUGGUCCGGUGGCAUUUAUGAGAGAUUAAUUUUCAGCUCCAAAGAAUCAAGGGACACUUGCUCCUUCCAGCCAACAGUCACUCUUCGGUGACUAAAAGUUUUAUGGAAGUGUCGGAGAUUAUUUCUCAGGAUGUGCAAGAGUCCCAUGGGUUUUGCAUCUCACUAGUAAUUAAGACUUUGGCUCAUCUCUGUAUGUACACACAAGGACUGAUCCUCCAGUGCUCCGAACCACUCUGGUUGUCUUAGACUUCUGGUGGGAGAAACUGAGACGUGUAAGAGAGUGCUCCAUGGUCACUCAUUCACUCGUGCAGGUGACACAGCAGCACACUGAGAUCCUCUUCACUGGUCCCAAGAGUCCCCACCAUUUCAUUAUCAAAUGAUGGCGCACCAGGGAUUCCAACCCAUCCCCCAUGAAGAUGAAACCUAUUAACACCCUCUGCCCCAAGCCUGUGACUUCUUUCUGCUCCCCACUGUCCAUCCAGGAGCUGGAGCAAUCAGUUAAACAACACCCCGAAGGAAGACCAUCAGAUAAAUCAAGAAUGUGAGGUGUUCUAUAAAGACAACUGGUUUUCUAGAAGACAAGACCUAAAGAUUAAGGGAAAUUGAUGUCAUAAAAAAGGGCCAGGGGGUGAUGGUCCUAAAUUAAAAACAAACAAACAAACAAACAAAAAAAACCACAAAUUGAAAGACACAACCUCAUACCUAAUUAGAUUCUGGUUCUGAAAAACAAAACAAAACAAAACAGCUUUUUAUACAUUUGGAGGAUAACUGGGGAAAUUUGAAAAAGGAUUGGUAUUAGAUGAUGUUAGGCAGUUACUACAUUUGUUCAAUGUGAUAUUGGUAUGAUGGCUAUGAAGGAAAAGCACCUUUAAUAUUAGGAGAAAUAAUUGGGAAUGAAGAGUCAUAGUGUUUGUAAUUUCCUUGGAAAUGGCUCAGAAAAGGAAAGAAAGAUUAAAAGAAUAAGAAAGAAUGAGCCAAGAAAAAGUAAUACAUACUCUGGAAUGCACACACAUACACACACACACACACAUUUAUAUCUGUGUAUCUAUUCCAUGCAUCUGUAUAUCUCUAUAAAGCAAUAGAGCCCCCAUGGUUUUUUUUUUUUAAGAUUUUAUUUAUUUAUUUGACAGAAAUCACAAGUAGGCAGAGAGGCAGGCAGAGAGAGGAGAGGGGAGCAGGCCCCCCGCUGAGCAGAGAGCCAGAUGUGGGGCUCGUUCCCAGGGACCCUAGGAUCAUGACCCGAGCUGAAGGCAGAAGCUUAACCCACUGAGCCACUCAGGCGCCACCCCCAUGUUUUUUUUUUUUUAAUUGAUUUUAUUUAUUUGACUGAGAUCACAAGUAGGCAGAGAGGCAGGCAGAGAGAGAGAGAGGAGGAAGCAGGCUCCCCGCUGAGCAGAGAGCCUGGUGUGGGGCUUGAUCCCAGGACCCUGGGAUCAUGACCUGAGCUGAAGGCAGAGGCUUUAACCCACUGAACCACCCAGGCACCCCAAACCUAAUAGAGCCCCAUGUUAACUGUUGGAUGUUGGUGAGAAGCAUAUGGGUGUCUACUAUUAUUUCUACUUGUAUAUCUGAAAAGAGCAUUUUUCUUAAUGUUUUCAAAGGCUGAGUUGAGUCAUCGUCGGUCACCGCUGCCUCCGGAAUACAGCCCAGAUCUCUCAGCCUAGCAAAUAAGGACAAUCUGUAGUGACUUCUUUUCAGGCAGUCUCUUGCUCUAAUGUCUUGAUGUAUUCCAUGCUCCCGUUAAAUUGGUCCCAACGUCUGUUUCCACAUUUGCCCUGUGCUUUCCCACGUGGGUGCCUCUGCGAAUGCUUCCCCUUCUUUUAACGCCCGGCACAAUAUCUCCCUACACAGCAUCUCCUUUCCUUCCUUGCCUUGAAGUAAUGCUCCCUCCACAGGACUCAUAGGAUUUGCGGUGAUAUUUGCUGUCUCGCCUUAAGUUAUUUGUGUUCUUCACAUAUGAUAGCUGCGACAGGGCGAGUUCCUCCAGCAUGUGACCUGUAGAUCUGUGUCUGUCAUCUGCAGUUCCCGCAUGCCGGUAGCACACAGCCUGGCCUAUUCACAUGUAACAAAUGUUUAUUGAGCAUCUGCUAGAACAUCUCCAGGCCUGAGCCAGGUGUUAGGGACAGGAUAGUGAAUGUACAAAUAGGUUCUCGUUCCUCAUGGAAUAUAGAGGAUCUUGGGAACACCCAGGUAUUGAGCAGGAAACACAGAAAUGAAUAUAUAUAGUAUUUUCAUAGAGAAAAGAUGUAAUCCUAUACAUACAUACAGUAAUGUGGAGGGCAGGUGAGGUGCGAUCAAAGAAUUAACAGGUGUCACCCGUUUCAAACAGGGAUGAACUUUCUCUAAGAUCUGGGGACUGGGGAGGAGUUAGAGAAGGAAAGAAUGAAUGGAGAUAAUAAUUAAAAAAAAAAAAAAAGAUUAUUCGAGACAGAGAACAUGAGACAGGGAUGGUCAGAGGGAGAAGCAGACUUCCUCCUGAGCAGGGAGCCUGAUACAGGACUUGAUCCCAGGACUUCAGGGUCAUGACCUGAGCUGAAAGCAGUCGAUCAACCAAAUGAGCCAUCCAGGCACACAGGAUAGUCAUUUUUUUAAAAAAAGACUUUAUUCUGUUUAAGUAAUCUCUACGCUCAGUGUAGGUCUCGAACUCAGAACCCUGAGAUCAAGAGUCUCACACCCCUCCCCUGAGCCACUGACUGGCCCUAAGGAUGGUCACUAGGUGGGAAGGCCCGAGGAGGAGAGGAGAGGCGGUGACUGAGGUGGAGGGAUGAAGGGCCGGGGGCACAGGCCUCCAGAGUGGUGUGGGUUCUAUUCCAAGUGUAAUCGGAGUGAUUAGGGGUUAAAGUGACCCCAAUUUUUGUUAUUGUCACUGGAGUCACAAGAGGGGAAAAGAACCAGCAGUUGGGGACCACGUGCAGCUUUCUACAAGAGAUGCAGAGGCUGGAUUGAAUGUGGCGGUAGGUGCACACGUUCCAGAGGCUCACUGUGAGCAGGAGGAGGAAACCAGAUCUGAGGAAGAAGCGGGCCUGAGAGGCACUUGGCUGUGACGAGCCCAUCCCAGGCUUCCGCCCUUUACGCAAGGUGGCUGGGGGCACUCGCAGCACAGCACAGUCCAUUGUUGCUUCCAGGCUGCAUCCAAGAAGGUGGCCCAGCCUGAGGCAUUUCCUUGGGGGUGAGGGCGAUUCCCAGAGGGAGACAGGCUCAGUGGAGAGCCAGGAGGCACUGAUGAUGUCAGCAGCUGGGUUGAGUACCUGCUCCUAAAGAGGGCGUUUCCAGGGCACCCACAACAGGAAACCAUUCCCCCUAUAGGUCAGGCUUACAUUAUGUGGUUCCCUCAACCCACAGGAAAGGCAAGGCAGGCUGGACCCCUGACAGAUACUGCCCUUGGUGGUAAGCCUGGACUGGGACUGCCAUAGAGCCAUGGGGGUCAGAGCCACUCAUGCACGCUUUGUCCAAACAAUGCUUAAAGCCUUCUAGUUUCAGGGCUGCACUGAGCGUGGAAAAGAGGAAUGAAUGGUUCUCUCUGUGGUUACCAAGGAAUGGUCUGCCUGGCUGUCUCACUUUCCCCGGAGCAAGUACUUCGUCUGAGCCAAUUGUUCUUCCAAUUUAGGUCCAGUUAGUGCAGUAGGCUGAUGAAAUUCACCGAAAGUAGAAAGACACAAAAGUGAGGCGGGAACUGCCAGGAUAUCGGAACAGGACUUUAACAGAACUUCCCGGGAGGUCAUUCAGCCCUCUACUCUGGGGUGACCAAGGGGAACGGUCGGUCCUAGAAAGGAAGACCACAUUGUGUAUCUAUUUGGUAGACAGUCCCACAGGGAAUAAUUGUAUACUUAAAAAAUGGGACCUGCCUACUAUCUGGGAAAAUCUCUAACCCCCCAGCAGGAGGCGGCAUUGGCUCACUGAGGCUUUGUAAGAGUGAUGCGUUACUCUGCCUCGGGACCCUGAUCACUGGGGUCCCUGUUCUGCUUGUGCGAAGGGAAUGCGAUCUUGGGGGGAUUUACUUAAACCUUUCAACAGUUUCCUAAUGACCAUGUGAACAGCGUUUAUUUCUCAAGGUUUUGAGGGACGGAUUAAAUGAAAAUGCACGAAUGAAAUCUGUCAUAGAGUAAAUGAUCAGUCCAUGCUACCUGUAAUUAUUAAUUAUUCAAGACUAUCUUUGAAGCACAGCAGAUCUAACCCAAGUGGGGCCCAAGACUUCCUUGGGAAUAUUAGACAUGCCAUAGAGAAGCCUAGAAAUACUGGGACUUCAUACGAUGCAGGAGUGUGUUAAUACAGUGAAGCUUUAUUGAAGUUUUUUUUUAAGCUUUUACAUGAUUUAAAAAAAAAUAUUUAUUCAUUUAUUUAAAAGAGAGAGAGAGCACGAGCAGGUGUGGGGAGGGGCAGAGGGAGAAGAAAUAGAUUUCCUGCUGAGCAGGGAGCCCGGCGUGGGGCUGGAUCCUGAGACCCCAAGAUUAUGACCUGAGUCAAAGGCAGAUGCUUAACUGACUGAGCCCGCUGGGUACCCCACAGCUUUUACUGAUUGUUAAGCACACUCACAAAUAUAACUGAAUUUAUUCCUUGUCACAAUCCCAGCUGCUUUAUGCCCCCUUUUACAGAUGGAGAAACAGACUUGAACAAGUAGGUAAUUUGUAAGGGCAAAGGCCCACAGCUGAGGCAGGCUGUCCUUUGUACCAUAGGUGCCAUAAAAACUCUUCUCUUCUUAAUAACAUAAAAAACUCAAACAGUUACAGCCGGUGUCAUCAACAAAACGACAUGACAUUUGUUUUCAUUUUGAUAACAGAAAAUAAACAUAGCUUCUUCUAUUUUUAAAAAGUAUCAUCAGCCUGGUCCUGUCUGUUACUCCCAGGAAAGAUACCAUUUUUGCCAUCCCUCCAAUUUAUGAUAAAUUAUUAAAAGAUUAUUCAAUACUGCUUCUCCCCUCACUAACUUAACUCUAAUAUGAAACGACUAAAGAAACUGUGUAAUUAGGAUUUGGUUUAUUUGCAAGUGAAAGACUUCAUUUAUGUUGGCUUAAACACAUUAGAGUUUAUUCUCACAUAUAAAAGAGAUCCAGAGGUAGG